AGCGAACGCUGGCGGCAGGCUUAACACAUGCAAGUCGAGCGGGCGUAGCAAUACGUCAGCGGCAGACGGGUGAGUAACGCGUGGGAACGUACCUUUUGGUUCGGAACAACACAGGGAAACUUGUGCUAAUACCGGAUAAGCCCUUACGGGGAAAGAUUUAUCGCCGAAAGAUCGGCCCGCGUCUGAUUAGCUAGUUGGUGAGGUAAUGGCUCACCAAGGCGACGAUCAGUAGCUGGUCUGAGAGGAUGAUCAGCCACAUUGGGACUGAGACACGGCCCAAACUCCUACGGGAGGCAGCAGUGGGGAAUAUUGGACAAUGGGCGCAAGCCUGAUCCAGCCAUGCCGCGUGAGUGAUGAAGGCCCUAGGGUUGUAAAGCUCUUUUGUGCGGGAAGAUAAUGACGGUACCGCAAGAAUAAGCCCCGGCUAACUUCGUGCCAGCAGCCGCGGUAAU
rnacentral:rRNA from 1 species